rnacentral:rRNA from 1 species
CACGUAGGGGGCAAGCGUUGUCCGGAUUUAUUGGGCGUCAAGAGCUCGUAGGCGGUUCGGUAAGUUGGGUGUGAAACCUCCAGGCUCAACCUGGAGACGCCACCCGAUACUGCUGUGACUAGAGUCCGGUAGGGGAGCGUGGAAUUCCUGGUGUAGCGGUGAAAUGCGCAGAUAUCAGGAGGAACACCAGCGGCGAAGGCGGCGCUCUGGGCCGGAACUGACGCUGAGGAGCGAAAGCGUGGGUAGCAAACAGG